rnacentral:tRNA from 1 species
GCGCCCGUGGCGGAAUGGCAGACGCCGCGGACUUAAAAUCCGCUUCCGGCAACGGAGUACCAGUUCGAGUCUGGUCGGGCGCACCA